rnacentral:lncRNA from 1 species
UCCAUCAUCAUUGGCAUCGGCCUUCUCCCUCUAAUCUUCCUUAUGCUUUCCUUCCCAUAGAUCUCCAAAAAAUAGAGAUGCUGACCUCCUCCCUAGGCUCCACACUGCUACCUCCCACCAGUCUCCGCCAUCAUUGUUUUUAUCUCUAUCUCAAACUCUGUGCCGGUAUUAUGUUCCUCUCUCUCUCUCUUGAAUGCCUACAAAAUACAAUGAGACCAUUUUUAGAUUAAUCAGUAUAC